rnacentral:rRNA from 1 species
AUUGAACGCUGGCGGCAUGCCUUACACAUGCAAGUCGAACGGUAACAGGUCUUCGGAUGCUGACGAGUGGCGAACGGGUGAGUAAUGCAUCGGAACGUGCCCAGUAGGGGGGGAUAGCCCGGCGAAGGCCGGAUUAAUACCGCAUACGACCCGAGGGGGAAAGGGGGGGAUCGCAAGACCUCUCGCUAUUGGAGCGCCCGAUGUCAGAUUAGCUAGUUGGUGGGGUAAAGGCCUACCAAGGCAACGAUCUGUAGUUGGUCUGAGAGGACGACCAGCCACACUGGGACUGAGACACGGCCCAGACUCCUACGGGAGGCAGCAGUGGGGAAUUUUGGACAAUGGGCGCAAGCCUGAUCCAGCAAUGCCGCGUGCAGGAAGAAGGCCUUCGGGUUGUAAACUGCUUUUGUCAGGGAAGAAAUCUUCUGGGUUAAUACCUCGGGAGGAUGACGGUACCUGAAGAAUAAGCACCGGCUAACUACGUGCCAGCCGCCGCAGUAAUAC